CCCUUAGAUGUUCUGGGCCGCACGCGCGCUACACUGAUUCAUGCAACAAGUUUUGUCCUUGGCUGAUAGGCCUGGGUAAUCUUUGAACGUGAAUCGUGAUGGGGAUAGAUGAUUGCAAUUAUUCAUCUUCAACGAGGAAUUCCUAGUAAACGCAAGUCAUCAGCUUGCAUUGAUUACGUCCCUGCCCUUUGUACACACCGCCCGUCGCACCUACCGAUUGAGUGAUCCGGUGAAUAAUUCGGACUGCAGCAGUGCUUGGUCCUCCGGGCUUUGCAGCGGAAAGUUUAGUGAACCUUAUCACUUAGAGGAAGGAGAAGUCGUANCA
rnacentral:rRNA from 1 species